GUUCCCAAGGAUGAUAAUUUCCAUGCUAAUCCUGAACAUGUGAUGAGCAAACGGUCUCUUGAUUGAGGGAAUC
rfam:Physcomitrella patens subsp. patens PHYPAscaffold_241 genomic scaffold, whole genome shotgun sequence.